CACGUAGGGCGCAAGCGUUGUCCGGAAUUAUUGGGCGUAAAGAGCUCGUAGGCGGUCUGUUGCGUCCGCUGUGAAAACUCGGGGCUUAACCCCGAGCCUGCAGUGGAUACGGGCAGACUAGAGGUAGGUAGGGGAGAAUGGAAUUCCCGGUGUAGCGGUGAAAUGCGCAGAUAUCGGGAGGAACACCGGUGGCGAAGGCGGUUCUCUGGGCCUGUACUGACGCUGAGGAGCGAAAGCGUGGGGAGCGAACAGG
rnacentral:rRNA from 1 species